rnacentral:rRNA from 1 species
AAACCGUUGAAAGGGAAGCGAAUGGAGUUAGCAAUUCGCCCUGCCAGAUUCAGUUGUUCGCGCUUCGCGACGUGCACGCUCUCGAUCCGCAUGGACGUGACGUGCACGGGUGCGACGUGCGGACGGCGCACUUCUGGCGGGCGAGCGUCAGCGUCGGUCGUCGACGGGCGAUAAGGUCGCGAGGAAGGUAGACGUGCCUUCGGGCGCGUUGUUAAGACUCGCGUUCGCAUAGCUCGACGGCGACCGUGGCUCCUUAAUACGGAGGCGACGCGUGCCUGGCUGGCGACUCGUGCGAUCGGUCCGGCAUGUCGACCGUGGCGGACGGCACGCCUGUGCGCUCGAACUGCUGCCGGUCGCUCGCACGGUGCUCGCACACUACGCGUCGAAGACGCUGACGACCAUACGGCUCCAUCCGACCCGUCUUGAAACACGGACCAAGGAGUCUAACAUGUGCGCAAGUCUCCGGGUGAUCGAAACCCGUGGGCGCAAUGAAAGUAAAGGUCGUCCUAGACGACUGAGGUGAGAAGCGCGCUUCGUCUCGACGCGCGCCGCAUCAUCGACCGACCUAUUCUGCUCUCAGAAAGGUUUGAGUAAGAGCGUAUCUGUUGGGACCCGAAA